rnacentral:rRNA from 1 species
AAACGAUUGAAGUCAGUCGUGUUUAUUGGAUUCAGCCGGUCUUCGGUGUACUUCCUUUAAACGGGUCAACAUCAGUUUUGUCCGGUGGAUAAAGGCAGUAGGAAUGUGGCUCCCUCGGGAGUGUUAU